GUAACGCGUGGGAACGUACCUUUUGGUUCGGAACAACACAGGGAAACUUGUGCUAAUACCGGAUAAGCCCUUACGGGGAAAGAUUUAUCGCCGAAAGAUCGGCCCGCGUCUGAUUAGCUAGUUGGUGAGGUAAUGGCUCACCAAGGCGACGAUCAGUAGCUGGUCUGAGAGGAUGAUCAGCCACAUUGGGACUGAGACACGGCCCAAAUUUUAACGGGAGGCAGCAGUGGGGAAUAUUGGACAAUGGGGGCAACCCUGAUCCAGCCAUGCCGCGUGAGUGAUGAAGGCCCUAGGGUUGUAAAGCUCUUUUGUGCGGGAAGAUAAUGACGGUACCGCAAGAAUAAGCCCCGGCUAACUUCGUGCCAGCAGCCGCGGUAAUACGAAGGGUGCUAGCGUUGCUCGGAAUCACUGGCCGUAAAGGGUGCGUAGGCGGGUCUUUAAGUCAGGGGUGAAAUCCUGGAGCUCAACUCCAGAACUGCCUUUGAUACUGAGGAUCUUGAGUCCGGGAGAGGUGAGUGGAACUGCGAGUGUAGAGGUGAAAUUCGUAGAUAUUCGCAAGAACACCAGUGGCGAAGGCGGCUCACUGGCCCGGUACUGACGCUGAGGCACGAAAGCGUGGGGAGCAAACAGGAUUAGAUACCCUGGUAGUC
rnacentral:rRNA from 1 species